UGUAAUAAUAAUAUGACGAUGAGGAACAUUGUCUACGAAUUUUUUGAAUGACCCUCGUACACCCAAUACAAAAAAUCAAUUAAGUAUCUUAAAAUAUUGAGAAAAAAAGUGCGAUUUACCAUUUGGGACAGACAAGGGACAUCUAGACAGACAAAGGGACAACUAGCUCUGGUGUGGGAUUUCUGCAUGGGAAAUCCAGGUCUAGCCAGUUUUCCGGGAAGAAAAUCCUACUUUAGAGCCAGUUUUCCAGGGAGGAAAUCAUACUCUAGAGCCAGUUUUCCGGAAGAAAGAUUUUAGUGCAUUUUCAUCUGUUCUAUGGUGCAACAGUUUCCAAGAAGAAUGAGGAUGAAGCGUUCAAAAGUGCACUCGAUAGGUUUAAGUUUAAAAGGCAUAGAGAAAAAAGGACAUCGUAUAUGGAGACCCUCCUGAGAUGUUUUGUGAUACUACGAAGUUCUGAAUUUCGAAAUGCACCAAGACCACUUCAAAACUCCACUGUAGCCGAAACCCUUAGACGAUGCAAUAGAAUUUUGAGACCCGACUGGGAGGAACAUGUGCCUACACCAGUCGCCUGUAGUUUUUAACAGAGCAAUUACAAUGUAUUCAAUUGUAAAUUAAAAGAUUCAAAACCUUGAGUCAAAACUUA